ACUGAUUAAAAUCGGUAAAAUUCACUCAUAUUAUGAGUAAAGCCAUUUUACCCAAAUAUGAGUAGCUGCAAUUACCCAUAUUUGGAUGAAAACUAAAUAAUUGACAACAUUCAUGUGAACAAUGUCCGACAAACAAGAACGGAGACAAGUCGGGUGAGAACUUGCAAUUAUUGAAGUUUUGUGAUAAGAGGAAUCUGUUUUGAUAGAACUUUUGGUAGAGCUGUUGUCAGGUACUCACACCUGGCCAAACGUGAUGCCAAACGGUUCCGGAGAGCCACGGAGCCACUGCGGAAACAAGGUGGCAGUAACGAUGAGUUUAGGACGUACGUGCUUCGACCGGAACACCGGAACUGAACAGUAUGAGAUCCACUGGCCCUGCACCGGCAUGCGAUUUUCAACAAUGAUUCCGACGAUUUGGUACCAGUGCAACGCUUUCGCCAAGGAAAUCCUUCGGAGAGGACGGCGUUAAAAUUGAUUCCGAAUAUUAGACGCGAGCAUGGAGUUAUGAUUGUUCUGUUCACAGGCAAGCGCAUCGCUUCCAGCUGUUGUGAUAGGUGAAUCUUUCGAGUGCUACGGGGAAGAUCGAAAAAACAUAUUGUAGUGAUCGUGAAGUGGUUUAAAAUGGAACAUAAAUUGUACAUUGCCUAUAUAAACAAUAAAUGAUUUUUUU